rnacentral:rRNA from 1 species
UGAGGAAUAUUGGUCAAUGGGUGCAAGCCUGAACCAGCCAUCCCGCGUGAAGGACGACUGCCCUAUGGGUUGUAAACUUCUUUUGUAUAGGGAUAAACCUACCCUCGUGAGGGUAGCUGAAGGUACUAUACGAAUAAGCACCGGCUAACUCCGUGCCAGCAGCCGCGGUAAUACGGAGGGUGCAAGCGUUAUCCGGAUUUCUUGGGUUUAAAGGGUCCGUAGGCGGACUUAUAAGUCAGUGGUGAAAGCCUGUCGCUUAACGAUAGAACUGCCAUUGAUACUGUAAGUCUUGAGUAUAUUUGAGGUAGCUGGAAUAAGUAGUGUAGCGGUGAAAUGCAUAGAUAUUACUUAGAACACCAAUUGCGAAGGCAGGUUACCAAGAUAUAACUGACGCUGAGGGACGAAAGCGUGGGGAGCGAACA